rnacentral:rRNA from 1 species
CACGUAGGGGGCGAGCGUUGUCCGGAUUUAUUGGGCGUAAAGAGCUCGUAGGCGGCUCAGUAAGUCGGGUGUGAAAACUCCAGGCUCAACCUGGAGACGCCACCCGAUACUGCUGUGGCUAGAGUCCGGUAGGGGAGCAUGGAAUUCCUGGUGUAGCGGUGAAAUGCGCAGAUAUCAGGAGGAACACCGGUGGCGAAGGCGGGUCUCUGGGCCGAUACUGACGCUGAGGAGCGAAAGCGUGGGGAGCGAACAGG